UUAUUUACUUCCGCCUGUGUCACGCGGUGAGGUUCCGGCAGAGCACGAGUGUUGCCUUUAGUUCCUCUUCAAAGUGUCAGUUUGUUGCAGUAAAUAAAUAAAAUGUUCUGAGCAGCAAGGCUGCCGUGAGAAGAGAAAACAGAUCCAUAAAGACCUCUGUGCAAGCUCCGUGUUUGGCUGUUUAACUUUCAACAGCAGCACGAAGCACAAACUAUGCAGGAUCUCCUGCAGACACACCAGCUGUCAUCAGGAUUUAACAGGAAACAUCACAUGAGAACAAAACAGUCUCCUCCUCCUGACUGCAGAAACCUGUCUGACUCCAGCUGUGAACAUCAGACCACUCACAGCUAACUCCCAGUGAACAUCACUUCCAACAUUUCUCCUCUGGAAACAUGGAAAAACUGGCUGUGAUCUGGAUCUUUGCAGCUCUCGUAGGUAACAGCUUGGAAGAUGAUAUUACUGCCAGCAGUGCUGAAGUGUUUUCAUCAGAGGGCCGUACAGUUACUGUGUCCUGUAACUAUUCAGUUCAAGCCCAGAAUCUCCAGUGGUAUCGACAGGAUCCUGGAUCAGCUCCUCAGUUCCUUCUCCUCAUCACUGAUACGAGUGAGCCGACUGUGGUGAGAGCAACCCCCCCAAACCCUCGACUGACUGCUGCACUGGACAAGGAGAGAAAUCGAGUCAAUCUGGAGAUCUCCUCUGCUGCAGUGUCUGACUCUGCUGUGUACUACUGUGCUCUGCAGCCCACAGUGACAGGAAACAGCAAAACUCUGUACAAAAACCUUUGGAGCAAACAGAAUACUCCACAACAUCCACUAGAGGGAGCCACACACUGUUAAACCUCUGAUUCUUGUGUGACUGAUGACAAAGACAACAGAAACGUGACGAUCCAGUUCUGGGACCAGGAGUUGCAGUUUUAACAGUCUUCCACACCAGCUUAUUGUGUUUUUUUUAAUAUUUUUUUUUAUUUUUAAAACAUUUUUUUCCACAAUUUCAAACAAACACAAACCCCAAAACAAACAAAAACAAACAACCAUGCACUUCACAAAAACCACAGGUACCAAAAGCUACCAAAACAUCAAACCUACUUCCAGUGGCCGCUGCACUUUAAACGGGAGUAGCUCAGACGUCAGAGAACAUCCAAAAAUUACAAGUUCAGGCUGUGCAGGCUUCAUAUCUGCCUCAGAAUACCAGUCAAACAUUUUAGAACAAAAGCCUGUUACAGUCUUUCUCAGUCGCUUUGGUGCGUUCCUCAGAACACCAUUAACAUUUGCACAGCAGUUAGUGCAUCUCCCAAAACAA